AGUCCCUCUCAGAGCCUCAACUGUCAAAGCAGCAGCAAACACAGGCUGCUUUUCCCCCAGGAUCCCAUGGCGCUCGCUCUUGCGUCCCCUCCAUGUUGGGAAGCUGGCAUUGGCAGGAUAUCAUCAGCUCAGGCCCGGGAAUAAGGUCUGUUAGUCAACUAGUGAAGCAAGUCAGCGAAGGGAAUACCCGGCCCUGCCCAGCCCAUGCUUGCUGGGGAGGCACAGUUCUGUGCAGUCACCCUCGUUAUAAUUAUCAUCAUGGUGACGAAUAAUUGCAUUUAUACAAAGAAAUUCCUUCCACACAUCUGAAGCACUUGACCAAAAAAUACACAAUGCAGCAUUAAUGUUUCACUUUUAGAAUAUGAACUUGGCCGGGUGCAGUGGCUCACCCGGGUGCAGUGAUUAAAUGCCUGUAAUCCCAGCACUUUGGGAGGCUGAAGUGGGCAGAUCACUUGAAGCCAGGAGUUCGAGACCAGUCUGGCCAACAUGGCGAAAGCCCGUCCCUACUAAAAAUACAAAAAUUAGCCCGGGUGUGCUGGCUCUUGCCCAGCUACUUGGGAGGCUGAGGCAUGAGUGAGAAUCACUUGAACCCCAGAGGCAGAGGUUGCAGUGAGCCAAGAUCGUGCCACUGCACUCCAGCCUGGGCGACAGAAUGAGACUCUGUCUCAAAAAAAAAUAAAUAAAUAAACUUGAAUCACUUUUUUUCUUGACCCCAGGAGCUUUAAUGGAAUUCCAAGUUGUAGUCCAUACAUCAGUGCUGAGAAAAGAUGAUCCAUGUCAACUGAUUGAUUGACGGAUUGAAAAGCAUUUGUUUUGAGGCAGGCACCGCACUGUGCAUUUUGGGGACCCAAAUAUGAAAAAGACAUAGCUGCCUGUGCAUAGGAGCCAAAUGGUCUAGAGAGAGGCAGAGAUCACAAAGCAACAUGGGAUGCCAGAGUGACUGGGAGUUUAUUUGGGGGAUAUUGAUCUGAAGGGUGAAUAGGAGUCUCCAGGCAGGCACAUGGGUGGCCCAUCACCAGUUCACGUGAUCUGAGUACAUGUAGGAUAAAUGACCCCAGGCAAGGCUGGGUGGAUGUGGCACAGCCUGACCCUGUGGAGAUGAGGAAUAGUACGAUAUCCGUUAAAUAUCCAUUCACUAGGGCCCAUCCACUGCACCACAGAUGUUGCCCUAGAAUGGAGUUUAGCCAUGUAGUCAUUCAUUCAUUCAUCCAUUAAAGCCAC
rnacentral:lncRNA from 10 species